rnacentral:rRNA from 1 species
GAUCCCUGGCUCAGGAUGAACGCUAGCUACAGGCUUAACACAUGCAAGUCGAGGGGCAGCAUGUUGGUUGCUUGCAACCGAUGAUGGCGACCGGCGCACGGGUGAGUAACGCGUAUCCAACCUACCCUUGUCCAUCGGAUAACCCGUCGAAAGGCGGCCUAACACGAUAUGCGGUUCACCGCAGGCAUCUAACGUGAACGAAAUGUGAAGGAGAAGGAUGGGGAUGCGU